UGCAAAACCUCAUUCCAGUGGAGGACGCAACAAAGCAAAUUCAAGAUCUUGUGAGAAAGAGGAAUAGAAGCUGUUCUGUUUUUGUGGAAGUGAAUACAAGAGGACAUCUAUACAACAGAAGCAAGCAUGAAAAGAAUGACAGAGAAUGGCAGAGGAAAUGAGUGAGAAGCCUGGCUCCAGCUCCUCCAUGACCUUUCCAUGCACAUUGGUGGCUGAUUGGUAUAUCGUCCCAGAGCUCUCUCUGCUCCGGAUUCCCAAGUGCUCCAGCUCUCCCAGUGGCUUCUCAUGAAUUCAAAGCAUAUGGAGCAGUAACUUUUUUGCAAGACACUUUUACGUUGUAUUUCUUUGAAACAGAAAAAUGGCAUGUUUGUUUCUGUGUCAGAUAAUUUAACACUGGAAAACAUGUGCUUUGCUAGGUUUCACUAAGAUGUUCUUAAGAUCUAGUUCUAGUAGUUUAAUUGGUAGUUCAAAACUUAAGAUCAACCUUAUCACUUGCUAGUAGCACUCCCUAUGAAACUGUAUGCAUCAGACAUCUAGAUUUUCCCACUUCUUCUCAAGACUUUUUGCAAUAGAGAUGAGAAAAUGCUUUUUAACAAGCUCAGCUGCAUAAAUAGCAUGAGUGUGGUUGGCAAGAAAA